UUGCGGCCCCUCCCGGCGGGGCCGGGCAGGACCUGGAGGUCAGGGAUUCCACGGAUAAACUCAUAGAUUCUAUGGAUGCUCCCGGUUAUAAAACGGAUUUUGAAACACCAAGCGACUUAAAAUGAAGACAUCGCCAAGUUCCUGAUGAUAUCUUCAAUAAGCCCACUUCUGACAGAAGGAAUCACUAUAAAGAAAUAUUAUAUAUUGCUA